CACCGUGAGGUCCUUCAUGCUCAUCCACAAAGGAGCCUCUUUCUCUUUUCUUCCUCACGAAAGCUCUCUCACCCCUCUCCUCAUGGCGCCUCCUUCCCUCCACCCCCUUAUUCUCCCCUUCGCCCCUGAUCUCUCCCUUGAGCACCACACCCACCCCCAUUUCCUAGGGAUAUAUGGACCUGAUCUUGGGCAAGAAGUGGAGACAAGAAGAGGAGGAGAAGAAGAAAGAGAAGAUCCCCACCUCCCUGAUUCCCCUUGCUCAAGCCUCAAGGGUACAUCACCGUGCGGCUUUGCAAGUACUCCCUCCAUCCGGGUUUAUUAGGCCUCUCAACAUCACAAGCAUGUCCCUUUUUAUAAGGCCUCUCUUUGGAAAGGUGCAUGCAUGCAACCAUUUCAUUGGUUGCAAUGAAAGUCAUUGUUGUUGGUGUCAUGGUUGAAAAAUUAAUACACUUCAUGCGUGCUUUUUCAUUGGUUGCAUGCAUGUGAGAGAGUGCAUUGGGAGUGGAAUGGAAGAAUUAAUGUGAGCAAAUUACUAUGUGUCUUGGUCUAAGAGAAGCUGUCUUUAGGCCUAAUAAACCCGGACGGAGUACUAGGAAAGGCGUAGCUCCCAUGGGUGUUCACUCACAUUGCACACCCCUUUCAUUCACCUAGUCCAUAAUGAUAAUUCUCAUAUUUAGGUUCAUGAUUCCUGGUAGCUAGGAUCUACUUGUUGUGUAUUAACCAUCCCUUGGUUUGUUUCCAUGAUCAAUAUGUUUAGCUGUCAAGGUGGGUUGGAGUUGACUAGUCCCCACCUUGCACCUGGGUGUGUUGGAACAUAUAUUUUCUUUGUUUUGUGUAGCAUAACAUUUGGUGGCUUCACCACUUUGCUCUACAUGGGUUGGAUGCUUCUGCUUGUGAUAUUAUAAAUAUAUACUCUAUUUAUUCAA